rnacentral:rRNA from 1 species
CAGUCGCCGCGGGAAUACGAAGGGGGCUAGCGUUGUUCGGAAUCACUGGGCGUAAAGGGUGCGUAGGCGGAUUCUUAAGUCAGGGGUGGAAUCCCGAGGCUCAACCUCGGAACUGCCUUUGAUACUGGGGAUCUUGAGUCCGGAAGAGGUGAGUGGAACUGCGAGUGUAGAGGUGAAAUUCGUAGAUAUUCGCAAGAACACCGGUGGCGAAGGCGGCUCACUGGUCCGGAACUGACGCUGAGGCACGACAGCGUGGGGAGCAAACAGGAUUAGAUACCCGUGUAGUCCCUGUCUCUUAUAC